CACCAACCACCGGAGGAACCACCUCCACCGCAGCGCCACCACCAACCAAAUCCAAGGAACCGCACUCCUGAGCAACGAAACUCGCAUUCUCUUCUCCUCCUCCACCUCCCUCCGCGGCCAGGUCUGCGGAAACGGCAUCAACGACACCACUCAUCUCAGCGACGGGAUUCAAAACCGCAGCGGCGGUGUCAACCGCAUCAAUUCCUUUCGCACCCGUAGCUCCAUCGCACCCGCCGCCUUCCUCGGCGGCAACGGAAGAUUCGCCGCACGGUCCUGUGAGAAUAGGG
rnacentral:lncRNA from 1 species